rnacentral:rRNA from 1 species
GAUGAACGCUGGCGGCGUGCUUAACACAUGCAAGUCGAACGAGAAGUGAAGACGGAAACCUUCCGGCGGAAGGCUUUAUUUCGAGUGGCGGACGGGUGAGUAACGCGUGGGUAACCUGCCUCAUACAGGGGGAUAACAGUUGGAAACGACUGUUAAUACCGCAUAAGACCACAGCACCGCAUGGUGCGGGGGUAAAAACCCCAGUAGUAUGAGAUGGACCCGCGUUCGAUUAGCCAGUUGGCGGGGUAACGGCCCACCAAAGCGACGAUCGAUAACCGAUCUGAGAGGAUGGCCGACAACAUUGGGACUGGGACACGGCCCGAACUCCUACGAGAGGCAGCAGUGGGGAAUAAUGCACAAUGGGGGAACGCUGAUGCAGCGACGCCGGGUGAGUGAAGAAGUAUUUCGGUAUGUAAAGCUCUAUCAGCAGGGAAGAAAAUGACGGUACCUGAGUAAGAAGCCCCGGCUAACUACGUG